AGAACGAACGCUGGCGGCGUGCCUAACACAUGCAAGUCGAGCGAGAAAGCCCGCAAGGGUGAGUACAGCGGCGCACGGGUGCGUAACACGUGGGUAAUCUGCCCUGAAGCUCGGAAUAACUCCCCGAAAGGGGCGCUAAUGCCGAAUAAGACCACGGGAGCCUCGGCUCCUGAGAGAAAAGGUGGCCUCUGCAUGCAAGCUAUCACUUCAGGAUGACGCCCGCGGCCCAUCAGCUAGUUGGCGGGUAUCGGCCCACGAAGGCUACGGA
rnacentral:rRNA from 1 species